rnacentral:tRNA from 1 species
AAAGAAUAAAAAAAAAGAAGCCGCUAACUAUCUUAAAAAGUGUUAAAUCACUUAUUCUUUU